rnacentral:lncRNA from 1 species
CUAGGCAUCCCCUCAAAGCUGGCCACUCCUUUCGAGUCAUCAUGGGGCGAAGUGCCUGAAAGUCCUGUAAGUUAGUGCACAAUCCUGUUAGUUUCAGAAGCCUAAAUAGUUCCGAUGUGCAUAUUGAGGACUUUUUGACUUCCUCUUGGCCUGAGAAGUGCCAUUUUCAUCUUGGUUUCAACUUAUAACAUGAAUCGUUGCUUUGCACUUGGAAGGUAAGCCUAGAAGAAAUUACUGAGAAACAAAAUGAUAAAAAUAAUAAACUAGAUAUGGAAUAUAUUAGUACGUGGUUCAAACUGAAUACUGCAUUUAUUACAACAAGUUUACUCUUUAGAAAGAUCAGAACUCAGAAAAUCACGUUUAUUUGUAUUGUUGAUGGGAUCAUGAAUUCUUAGAUUGGGGUAGUAAAUGCUUUGGCAGUGGAGAUAGGAUCAUGAAUUCUUGGUUUGGAUGCCAUUAUAAUGCUGUGUUUUCACAGUUGUAAGGAUUAGGAUGGACUGCCUCUUAGUUGCAGAGGGGACAUAAUUGCAUGUGCACUUAAGUAGAUCUGGUAAAUGAGUUAUUCUAUAGAUGCCAUGAUAUGAUAUCAUUUAAGGUUAUUAGCAGUGAACUGCAGUAGGCUGAACCUUGUCAGUGGAUUAUAUUACUAAUUGCAUAGUUUACUAAAUCAUAACACAUAACAUGGUUUAUACAUAGUAUUCAAAUCAUAACGAAACCUGCCAUAACUAUUUCAUGUAAUACUUCCUUCUUUGUGGCAUAUAGCUAUAUCACGAAGACGCUUAUGGCUUUGCUUCAAUAGCACAAAUUUUCAGUUAUCACUAUUACCAUAUACCUUAACUAUCAUAUAAUCAAGAAUCAAUGUCUUAAUUAUUGUACUAUGCUUAGCAACGGUCACAUCAUUCCUCAUUUAAAAAAUUUUACUCCCAAUACUUGCUCAUUAUCAACUAGUCAUACGCUUAAUGUUAUAAUCACAACUAUAAUUAGACAUGUUUCAAGCAUACUUAAGAUUAUAUUUUUCCAAGUUAUCAAAAACACCUUUAUCUCAUUAUGGAUUAGACCAAGUGCGUAAAUGGUGCAUCAUAAAAUAAUUUUGCCCAUCAUAAGUGUUUAGAAAUCAGAGAAAUCAACAUCUAAUAAUCAAAAGUAUUUACCUGCAAUUUAAACAAUCUUAGGUGCCUUCGGAUGUCAAAUAUCCUCCAAUCAGCCUAAACUUUCCUCAAUAAUCCUUUGGAUUGCAAACUUUAAUUUAGUUUAUGCCCUUUCCAACGCAUUGGCUUUGAUUUUUCUGACCGGAGCUUUAUAAUUCAGUGAAACUUCACAGCAUUAGUCGGUAUUUUUUAC